rnacentral:lncRNA from 1 species
UUUCCUCAUAGCCAAGAGAUGGGCACGUGACCUAGGCUGGAGCACUCAGACUGUCUCCUGAGACAGGAUCUUGCAUCAUCAGAAAUGAACACUUGGAUGACACUUGUCUCCUCAGCAACUCUCAGACAAAAUAGUUGGCCAGUUUCUGUUGGUUCCAGUUCUAUUUCAAGACUGGCUCUCCAGCCUGUCUCCUCUGUGAGCUACCUGAUAACCUUUCAACAAGUUAUCCUUUUGUUUGAUUAGCUGAAGUUGGUUUCUGUUGCUUGCAACCAAGGAACCAUGAUAAAUUAUCAUCUGGUUCAUAAUUUCCAUUUCAUGAACCUCAGAUGGUGAGCAAUACUACAAAGACUUGGAUAGCAGCUGCUAAAAGAGGAGGUGGCUGGAAGCAUCUGAAAUGUAGUCCAGAAUAGUCCUGGGAGGCUAAACAGGAAAAUUGCUCUUGGCUGAGAAGAGCUGCCCUGCUGGGAAGUUAUGGAAAUUAUGAGCCCAUUUCCCCCAGGAAGAGUGGGGGCAGCUCCAGCCAAUGACUGGCUGAUAUCGGGGUACAAAAGCUGGCCCCUUGUCUCCAGCCCCAAGCAGCACAAGCACAGGAAGUUGGCAGAGCCCUACCAUGGGUCAGAUCUACCAGCAGGCAGAAACAAAGAAUGGUGCAGAUGGCAGUGGAAAGGAGCAAAGGCACACCAAAGGUAACAUGCUGACCUCUUCCGUGUCCUUCAGUGCCAGGCCCAAGCAGGACCAGUGUAGGAG